rnacentral:misc_RNA from 1 species
GUAGGUGAACCUGCGGAAGGAUCAUUACCAAAGAUUUUACAUCUUACUCUGUGUACUGUUCUCUCGACGCGCCUGGCGACAUUGGAUCUUUGGUCUGACCAGAGGUUUCCAUAGCCAGGCUUAGUCCAAUGUUUGUGUAUCUUACAACUGAACUGACCAAAAAUUGUUAACCUAAAACAACUUUUAGCAACGGAUCUCUAGGCUCUU